AUGCACGCCGACGGCGGCGCCGCCCCGUCCACCGGAGAUUCCACGACCGACCCUUCCUCUCCCUACUUCAUCGACGCCGCCCACCCGUACGCGGCCGCCGCCGCUUCCGCGCUCACCUCCCACCGCUCCAAGUCCAAGUGGUCUCACCUCUCCUCUCUCCCGCUCCCCGAUCCCCUUCCGGCGUCCGCCGUCUCCGCCGUCCUCCUCCUCCUCCGCCGCCGGCCGCACGUCGCCCUCAGCUUCCACAGCUUCGCGCUCCGCCGCCUCCUCCCCGCCCGCUCCCCUCCCCCGCUCAUCCUCUCCGCCUCAGCCGCCCACGUCGCCGCCGCUUCGCGCCUCCGGCGCGCGGCCAUUUCCGUCCUCUCCUCCGCCACCUGCCACUACUCCCCCUCUCAGAUAUUCAACGCCCUCGCCGCCACCUACCGCCGCUUCGCGUCCGCCCCCUUCGUCUUCGACCUCCUCCUCCUCGCUUACCUCCGCUCCCGCCGCGACCCCCUCGCGGCCACCUCCAUCGCCCGCCGCCUCCUUGCCGCCGGCGCCUGCCCCCUCCCCGCCACCGCCGCCGCCCUCUUCCGCUCCCUCCCCUCCGCCGAGUCCGCCCUCGAGAUGUACCACCAAAUCUACACACUCCCGGGCACAAGAACCAGCCGCGCGCUCCAGCCAACCGCCCAGACCUUCAACUCCCUCCUCCUCGCUUUCUACCGCCAAGGCAAGUGUGAAGAUUUCAGCGUCGCGCUGGACGAAAUGGACAGGUAUUCUUGCGAGCACAAUGUGGGCACCUACAACAUUAGGAUGGCUGCUUACUGUGACGGCAGAAAAUUUGAUAAGGCACGAGGACUGUGGGAUGAGAUGGUUCAGGGAGGGAUCCAGCCAGACGUCACCACAUACAACACCAUGAUUGCCGGGUAUUGUGGUGCUGGAGAGGUGGGGAUGGCGGAGGAGAUGUUUAAGGACAUGGAGAUUGGUGGUAUCGAGCCAAGUGUUACAACCUUUGAGUGGUUGGUUCGAGGGCAUUGCAGGACAGGGAAUGUCGAUGCUGCGAUGCUUGUUUGUGCAGACCUUAGAAGGAGGGGUUUUGCGAUGGCUGCGGAGGUUGUCGAGGAGGUUGUUGAUGCAUUGUGUCGGAAGAGCAGAGUUGGGGAGGGGUUAGGUAUUUUGAGGGCAGAGAUGAGAAGGGAAGAUUUCACACCUAGUCGGGGAAGCUACGAGGCGCUGAUAAGGGGGUUUUGUGAACAAGGAGAAGUGGAGGUGGCCAUGAGACUCCAGGCAGAGAUGGCUGGGAAGGGAUUCAAGGCUGGUGCUGAGGUAUACCAUGCUUUUGUCCGUGCUUAUGAGAAGACUGAGGACUUCGAGAUGGUUGAGAGGUUGAGGAAGGAAAUGUCGGUGAUAGGCAUUGACGAAGAAAUCGGCCUGGCUUGUAUGCAGUGAUGUACUGUUUGGAAGCUAUGUAUGUCGUUGUUCAAGAAACCGGCACAUGGGUGCGAGGUACAUUAGCAUAAGCAGUCCUGGAGCUGCAAUUGUCACUGGAGGCGUCUGGCAACGGUGAUGAGCGGAUGAUGCUGUCCUAUUGCCCCGAGUCUUGAUGCCUUUCCAUUCUUGGCUGGAGGUAAGGCUGGGCAAGGCCUAAUGUCGUUGCGGUCUGAAGUUGAGGGCACCUCCUCACCUAGUCGUAGUUGCUUGGUGAGGAAGGUUGUGUGUGUGUCCCUCCUCUUUGUAGGUUGUACCACUGAUGUCUUCCUGUUCAAUGAAAUGAGACGCAAAUUCUUUUGCGUUUUCUUGAAAAUUAAAAUUUAGUUUUAGUCAAUUAUGGAGUUUAUAAAAAAUGCAAUUUGCUAAUUUACUUUAUAUUCUUAUUUCGAGUUUCAUUCUGGAAAUAGUUUUAUACUUUCUCUGCCUAAUAUGGUUUUUAACUCAAUUCUGUAAGGGUUUAUAUCGAGUAAGCAUGCAAUAAGUUGCUAUAUUAAUUUUCUAUUACAUAAUCUAUUUAAAAAGAUUUUAUUCUCCAGUUCCUAAGUUUUGUCAAAAAUAUCUGGAAUUUCGUUAGUUAUAAACAAUUGAUGGGUUUGCUGCAAAAUCAAAUCAAAGUUGCUAAUUGUCCGUAAUCUAUUUUUGACAUAUGAUUUAUUCCGAAUCCAGGCUUUACUGGUUUUACGUGGAGCUUGUACGGAAACUGAAUUUCUAAAUUGGUUGCAGUCAGCACUUCACCCCUCGCAUCUGUGAAAGCUCUAGACAUACAUGCGGCCAGCAAGACUCACAAGAAGUAAGUACUGACAUCGGGUACUAAUUAAAUUGGACUCCUGCUUGUCAAUUUUUCGUUUCUUGCUUAAGUAUUCUGCCAUCAAAAUUAGUAGAACUCAUGUGCAUGUCAUGAAUAUCCACCGUACAUAUAUUUUACAUCUAAAUUGAUCGAUCUACACCAUUGUUUUAUCGUUGUUUAAUGAUAUAAUAGGUUGUACUUUGAAGUUUAGAACUUUCAGACUUGAUCACUUGAUAUAGAGUUUAGCUACCUCUUAAAACCAAAUAACUGAUUCUUUUUGUUCUGAAUUCAUAUAUAAAACAGAGUUGUAUUUUUCCAAGUUAGAAGAGUUAUAUUAUUUUAUCAAUCUAAUAACAAUUGUAUGUACAUUUGUAAAAAAGUAAAUCUAGCCUCUGGUGAUGAUGGGUUACACUGUCUUACUUCUUCGAGAAAUUUGGGAUGAAGUACUCUCAUGGAUCAGGUUCAUCUUUAGGCCCCCAGACCCUGACGCUCCCCUGAUUGAAUGGUGGCUUUCGAAUAAAGAAGGAUUAGUGGAACGACUGCUUCCCUCGUCCUGCUCAGUGUUCACCAUGUGGAUGCUUUGGAAGCACCGAAACACGUGUUUUCUUUGCUGGUGCUUGUGCAAACCUCGUGAUGCUCCUUGCUCAGAUUAAAGAGGAAGCUAUCCUCUGGUCCCGAGCUGGUGGUUGAGGUCUUAGAAUUUGCGGUGGAUGGGAUGUAUUCCCUCUGAUCCAUAAUAAAGUGUCGGGGGCUUUAGUUCAAUUUAGUUCAAAUUUGAACUAAAUUCCCGACACUUAUUAUGGAUCGUACUGAUGCUGUGUGUGUUUCCUAGCCUCUCUUUAGGCUUGUAGAAAUUUUUCGACAUUUUCAAUAUAUCAAAAAGGCAAAGCUUGAAAAAAUAAUCUUCUACUCGCACGUGCUGCUGGGCCAUGGCGUAGCGUAGCAAUCACCAUGAAAUAGAUCUGUUAUAUACUCUCAUGAUAAAUCUGAUUGUAGUGGUCUUGUAAGAGUGACAGAGUAGCAACUGAAUUUCACUUGAAUUGUUUGUGCACAUGUGAUGUAUUCUCAAGCCAAGAUUCAAACUAUCGUGUGUACGUGAGAGAUUGCUUAAUUACACGGUGAAAUCAGCAGCGCUCAAACAUCUUGAAUUUGGAUGGAUGAAUCUUGUCUGUUCUUCUUCUAUCGUUUGAAUAAUAAUAAAUAGAUACAUAAAUGGGGCUGGGUGGUCCUCCCUGUUGAUGUAACUUUUUUACUAUGAACUUAUAAAUAGAAGAAAGUUUACAAGAUGGGACACCAAAUCUCUAUGAGCCAUAAAUUCCUAGUCAUACUCAUACUCAUACACAACUUCUAACACACCACUACAGUAUUAGUAGCCAGUCAAUUAAAAACUGUUAUGUAGCAAACACAUACCUGGACACAUGGUAAUUAUUGUGCAUAACAUAUAACAAUAUUUAGGUUUUCACUAAUUUUCUCUUCAGAUUGGCCCAUCUUAGUACCACAGUCACAUAAAUCUUGUCCUGCAGCCUUUCGACCAACAGGAAAUAAGAAAUUCUCCAUUUUCUCUUAAACAACAUCACACAAAAGAUCACCCAAAGGCCAAGAACGAAGCCAACAGCGAAACCAAGGUAAAUGGAUAUGUCCUCCAAUCCAUCCCCGUCAUCUGCAUGUGCUGGCGGACUCAACCCAUUUCCAGGACAACUGUUAGUCAAGGGGAGACCACAUAAACCAAUGUUUCCGAUGUAAGAAGAUGCAUCGAAAGUCCUGAGCUGAUUUCCAAAUGGUAUCUUUCCAGAUAGAGUGUUGUAUGAGAGGUUUAUAUGGCUUAAAGAGGUAAUAGAUGCCAUGCUUGAAGGGAUUUCACCUGAAAGCUCAUUGUUUGACAGGUCAAGAGACUCCAAUUGCUUGAGCUCACCAAUAUUCUCUGGGAUUUCACCACUUAAGCUGUUCCAUGAAAAGUUCAGACCUCUUAAUCCAAUGAGAGCACCAAUACCUUGAGGGAUCACCCCGGCUAGACUGUUGCAUGACAAAUCAAGAAACACCAUGUACGGGAUUUGACGUGAAAAUUCAAGUUGUUGUCCUUUAGUAAGAACUGAUACUUGUUCCGUGAAAUAAAUCAAAUCAUAUACUGAGUUAUACAAAUGGGGUCCAUGGAAAUAUGUGAUCACUUUAUCAAGAACAUAACUGUAUCCAGAAAUAUGGGCCAUUGCACUCAUGUUAACUAAUGAGUCCAGCAUGAUACCUGAGAAGUUGUUAUGUGCAAGAUCUAAA